rnacentral:rRNA from 1 species
UAUUAUGAGAGUUUGAUCCUGGCUCAGGACGAACGCUGGCGGCGUGCCUAAUACAUGCAAGUCGAACGCUU